UACGUAGGGAGCAAGCGUUGUCCGGAAUCAUUGGGCGUAAAGCGCGCGUAGGUGGCCACAUAAGUCCGUUGUGAAAGUCAAAGGCUCAACCUUCGAAAGCCGAUGGAUACUGUGUGGCUAGAGUACGGAAGAGGCGAGUGGAAUUCCUGGUGUAGCGGUGGAAUGCGCAGAUAUCAGGAGGAACACCAAUAGCGAAGGCAGCUCGCUGGGACGUUACUGACACUGAGGCGCGAAAGCGUGGGGAGCGAACAGG
rnacentral:rRNA from 1 species